AGCGAACGCUGGCGGCAGGCCUAACACAUGCAAGUCGAACGAACUCUUCGGAGUUAGUGGCGGACGGGUGAGUAACACGUGGGAACGUGCCUUUAGGUUCGGAAUAACUCAGGGAAACUUGAGCUAAUACCGAAUGUGCCCUUCGGGGGAAAGAUUUAUCGCCUUUAGAGCGGCCCGCGUCUGAUUAGCUUGUUGGUGAGGUAAUGGCUCACCAAGGCGACGAUCAGUAGCUGGUCUGAGAGGAUGACCAGCCACAUUGGGACUGAGACACGGCCCAAACUCCUACGGGAGGCAGCAGUGGGGAAUCUUGCGCAAUGGGCAAAAGCCUGACGCAGCCAUGCCGCGUGGAUGAUGGAGGUCUUAGGAUUGUAAAAUCCUUUCACCGGUGAAGAUAAUGACUGUAGCCGGAGAAGAAGCCCCGGCUAACUUCGUGCCAGCCGCCGCUGUAACAC
rnacentral:rRNA from 1 species